rnacentral:rRNA from 1 species
AGAGUUUGAUCCUGGCUCAGGAUGAACGCUGGCGGUAUGCUUAACACGUGCAAGUCGGACGGGAAGUGGUGUUUCCAGUGGCAGACGGGUGAGUAACGCGUAAGAACCUGCCCUUGGGAGGGGAACAAUAGCUGGAAAUGACUGCUAAUACCCCAUAGGCUGAGGAGAAAAAGGGGGAAUCUGCCCAAGGAGGGGCUCGCGUCUGAUUAGUUAGUUGGUGAGGCAAUGGCUUACCAAGGCGACGAUCAGUAGCUGGUCUGAGAGGAUGAUCAACCGCGCUGGGACUGAGACAUGGCCCAGACUCCUACGGGAGGAAGCAGUGGGGAAUUUUCUGCAAUGGGCGACAGCCUGAUGGAGCAAUGCCGCGUGAAGGCAAAAGGCCCACGAGUCAUGAACUUCUUUUCUCGGAGAAGAAAAAUGACGGUCUCUGAGGAAUAAGCAUCAGCUAAAUCUGUGCCAGCAGCCGCGGUAAU